rnacentral:lncRNA from 1 species
AUCCAAUGAGCAGUCAGCUCGUCCAGCUGGGGAGUGUGCUGCUUCAGAUAUGGGCACACCACCAUCUCUCUCUCUCUCUCUCUCUCUCUCUCUCACACACACACACACACACACACACACACUUGUAAGUUUUAUGAGCCUCUAGACAGUUGGCAUUCAACCUUCCUAAUGUUAUGACCUUUUAAUAGUUCUUCAUGUUAUAUGAGCAUAAAAUUAUUUUCAUUGCUACUUCAUAGCUGUAAUUUUGAGUAUAUAGAUUAUAAUGUAAAUAAAUAUAUUUGGAGAUAGAGGUUUGCCAAAGGGGUCAUGACCCACAGGUUGAGACCCCCAAGUUGUGUCUCCUUUGAAGUGUCUUAGCAGUUGAGUUUUAUAAAAUAAACCUUAUAAGGGAGUUGAACUCUCUUACUUUAUUUUGAUUAGAAAAUAAGGCUGGAGAUAAGAGACUGGUUGUAAGAUGCUUGUCUAACAUGCAAGGGUCGUAGUUUCAGUUCCUAGUGCUGUGAUGAAAAAAGAAAGGGAGGGAGGAAAAACGUAAUGAAAGGCCAUUUUCUCCACUGGGAAAAAUGGAGUUGGGGGGAAGGAGAUGAGUGGAAAAAGAAAAUUGAAUGGUUUUCCUUUUGAGAUACAUACAUCAAUAGAGUCUAGCUCGAGAGCUUAGUUGUCUUGUUUUAUUAUUAACAGGAUAGUACCUCAGUUAAGGCAGAAAGCUAAAAAUGUGAAGUCAGAUAAAUAUAGGCAACCAGAAGCAUGUAGAACAUAAAAUACUAGUGAUGAUUAAGUAUGUUACUUUUUCUUUGUUAAAAGAAAUGCUUUCAUCAAAGAAAAUGGCUAGUUAAAGUUUUCUUCUCUGUGAAGAGGAAAUGAGAUCAUUAUUCUUUUUUUCUUUCUUUCUUUUUUGGUUUUUCGAGACUGGCUUUCUCUGUGUAGGCUGUCCUGGAACUCACUCUGUAGACCAGGCUGGCCUCGAACUCAGAAAUCCACCUGCCUCUGCCUCCCGAGUACUGGGAUUAAAGGCGUGCACCACCAUGCCCAGCUCCAUUAUGGUUUUUCUAAGCUUGUUCUCUCAAAUUUAUUUUUAUUUAUGCCUAUGUAUAUAUCUGUGUGCAUAUAUGCUGUGUUUACAAGUACCCACAGAGACCAGAUGACGGUGUCAAAAGUUUCAAAAGCUGGAGUUGGAAGGAAUUGUAGUUCCUUGCUAUGGGUGCUAGGAACUACAAACUCAGGUCCUUUGGAACUGCUCUUAACUGUGUCACUCCAGCCCCUAUUCACUUUCAUAGAUUCAUUUUUAUAUACUUAUAUAUUUGUUUGAGUUCUGCCAGGCCUGGUAGUAAGGCCUGAAAUUUCAUUUAACUUGAAGAGGAAGAUAAUGGGAUUCCAAAAGAACAAAAAAUUAAAUUGGGUUAGGUUAUAUAUACUUCCUGGUAACUAGAAGUCAAGGCAGGAGGAUUGGGAUUUCAAGACCUGAGCUACAUGGGAUCCUGUCUCAAAACAACAACAAUAAAAAGAGGCAAGAGAGAACUUGAGUGAAGGACUCAUUCAGUAAGCUGGUUGCCAUGCAAGCAUGGGGCACAUCGUUCAGAUCCAGAGCACUUACAAGCCAGGCAGGGUGAUAGACCUGUAAUCCCAAUACUGGACAGAAAGAGACAGCAGUAUUUCUGGGACUUGAGAGUCACCCAUGCAGGACAAACUGAGGAACUCAGACUUAGUGAGGAACCCCAUC